rnacentral:lncRNA from 1 species
CUUUAAAAACCGCGCCCAGUCCGAACCCGGCAGAAGCCAUUUUAGGACUCAAUCAAUCAGUCCUGCCUGUUGUGGUCCAGCCAACCGUGACAAUCGCUUCUCCGCCAUCGAAAACUCCUGGUGUAACCCCUCCCCCUGCGCAUCGACCCAAUUUAUGAUCCAUCAACGAAGAAAGAAUUAGCAGUCUGCUUGUAACUUAGAUAGCUGAAACAGAAAGUGUUUAAUCAAACUGCUGUGGCUAUGCAUCUUCAUCAUCGGCGUGUCCUGAUCUUGAGUAGUGAAUGCAGCUUGGGUACCCACAGGUGAAGGGUACUACCUACUAUGAGAGGAAAGAAGGGGAGGAAGUACGGAAUUUGGCCUUUCCCUCCUGUACGUGUUGAGGGGUACCAGUGAAAGGGAAUUAACUCUCCACCUGAACAGUUGUUACAAACUCCAACCGCUAUUCCCAGGUACCUGUGGGGAUUUUCCCUUAAAUUCAUUUUCAUCUGUUAGGGAUCUGGGCCUUCUAUGGAAUGAGCACCAGCAAUUGGACAUUUGCCAACUACAAAGUUAUGAAUAUUUGAACUCUACUUCCCCAUCUACCAAAUAGUCUCUGGAAAGCAUGAAGAACUCCUUCUGCCUCAGACCAUCUGGUAGUAAGGGAAGAAUUCCUUCCUAAACCCCAUACUGGUACUAUCUUAAAGAAGUACAAUGCUGAUCUCAAAAUGGAUGUGAGCUACUGAAGUGGUUUGAGGAGUCUGGUAGGGUAUCCUUAGAAGAAUCCUUGUCAGUGAGAUCCUCCUUAUAUAGACUGCAGUGCACAUACUACAUUGUUUUAGCUUCCCUUCCACAACCCAAAAAGAAAAAUAAACCUUGAUAAAGGAGGCA